GACGAACCGUGCGAACGUUAUUCGGAAUCACUGGGCUUAAAGCGCGUGUAGGCGGGACGGCACGUCGGUCGCUGAAAUCCCCCGGCUCAACCGGGGAACGGGCGCCGAUACGACCGCCCUGGAGGGACGUAGGGGGACCUGGAACUUCCGGUGGAGCGGUGAAAUGCGUUGAGAUCGGAAGGAACGCCCGUGGCGAAAGCGAGGUCCUGGACGUAUUCUGACGCUGAGACGCGAAAGCCAGGGGAGCGAACGGG
rnacentral:rRNA from 1 species